rnacentral:ncRNA from 1 species
UAUCUGGUUGAUUCUGCCAGUAGUCAUAUGCUUGUCUCAAAGAUUAAGCCAUGCAUGUCUAAGUAUAAGCACUCUUUUACUGUGAAACUGCGAAUGGCUCAUUAAAUCAGUUAUCGUUUAUUUGAUAGUACCCUACUACAUGGAUACCUGUGGUAAUUCUAGAGCUAAUACAUGCGCAA